rnacentral:rRNA from 1 species
UACGUGGGCAGCAAGCGUUGUUCGGAGUUACUGGGCGUAAAGGGUGCGUAGGCGGCCAACUAAGUCGGAUGUGAAAUCCCCAGGCUCAACCUGGGAACUGCAUCCGAUACUGGAUGGCUUGAAUUCGGGAGAGGGAUGCAGAAUUCCAGGUGUAGCGGUGAAAUGCGUAGAUAUCUGGAGGAAUACCGGUGGCGAAGGCGGCAUCCUGGACCGACAUUGACGCUGAACGGCGGAAAGCUAAGGGGAGCAAACGGG